UACAUAGCUUAAUGAGGGGAACUCAGGGAACUGAAACAUCUAAGUACCUGAAGGAAGAGAAAGAAAUUCGAUUCCGUAAGUAGCGGCGAGCGAACGCGGAUUAGCCCAAACCAAUAAAGUUUUCUUUAUUGGGGUUGCGGAAAUAUCAUAACGAAGAGGUAUCGUAAUUGAAGAGGUUUGGAAAGACCCACCACAGAAGGUAAUAGUCCUGUAUGUUAAACGAGAAGACUUUAGAUAUGAUCCAGAGUACCACGGGAAACGUGAAACCC
rnacentral:rRNA from 1 species